GGUCGUCCGUUGCCAGGUGCCCGGCCGCCACAAUCCCCUUGUGUAUGAGAGGGCAGUGCAGCGGGGGCCGCCAUCCUCGACCUUCAAUUACUGGUCAGCAAUGGCGAUGCGAAUAGAAAGGUCAGCAUCUGGCCCUGUAGAAGUUCAGUUUGUUUAUUUUCUGAAGUUUUUAAAGUGGAGUAUAACCAUGCAUAUUUUGUAGGGCCCUGUGAAGUAUAGUUUGUUUCGCUUCUGAAAUUCAGCUUGUUGAUUUUCUAAAGUUCACUUUGUUGAUUUCCUAAAGUUCAGUUUUUUGAUUUUUUGAAGAGAAAGGUUGCUUCACUUGCACCCUAUCUAGUCGUCUUCUGAAGUUCAGCUUGUUGACUUUUUGAAGAUCAAUUUGUUGAUUUCCUGUGUGGUUAUCUCAUCGAGUCCUCCUUAGUUCGGAGCUAGAGGCGGUUCUUCAGCUUCCCUGCUGCGCUCUCGCAAUUGUCGGUAAGUAAUCCUUGUUCUACUCUUUCCUUGUAGUAAUGCUUGUUGGGUUCCCCUCCUGGUUUGGAAAUAUAAUAAUACAAGUUUGUCAUUGCGCUAUGUUCAUAUGAUUACAAUAGAAGAGAAAAGUAACAAAGGGUCAGAACCAAACCAGAGUGAAACAUACCAAUCAUAACAUGGUUAUUUGCAACGAACUCUAGUCAUUUGUUGAUCUAACUGCAGCAGAGACAAAAUUUAUACAAGAGGCACUGUAGCACCCGAUAAGAUGGGGAGAGGAUGUGCGGUGAAGAAAAAACAUAGGUUUUCAAACCGGCCAUUGGUGGUAGCAUCUAAUCAUUUUGCCAUGUAAUGAACAUGUGUAUGUAUGUACAGUAGCAUAUUUUACUCGAACUGAGUUACUCUAUUAUGUAUGAAGUAUGUGCAGACAAGAACGCAUGUAUUAACCUUCUAAUUGUUACACUUGGUGUGUACGCAUUUUGCUUUUGCUUUGCGUUUGGCUAAUAAAUGGUGUCCGCCUAUAUGUUUGUAGUUAUUGGUUAAAUGUUGUCCACCUAUAUGUUUGUAGUUAUUGAUUAUUAUAACUGAAUUUAUUUAUUUUGGUUUGCAACGUACAACACAAUAACUUUUUGGCAGAGAGUUCAACUAAAUAAUAGUUUUGGAGCAAUUAGAAAGAAGGUCAAAC
rnacentral:lncRNA from 1 species